UACGGAGGGUGCAAGCGUUAAUCGGAAUUACUGGGCGUAUAGAGUUCGUAGGCGGUUUUAUAAGUCAGAUGUGAAAGCCCUGGGCUUAACCUAGGAAUUGCAUUUGAUACUGUUUAACUUGAGUUUAAGAGAGGAAAGGGGAACUUCCGGUGUAGCGGUGAAAUGCGUAGAUACUGGAAGGAACACCAAUGGCGAAGGCAACUUUCUGGCUUAAAACUGACGCUGAGGAACGAAAGCGUGGGGAGCAAACAGG
rnacentral:rRNA from 1 species